GAUUUGACGUCAUCCCCACCUUCCUCACAUCUUACGAUGGCAGUCUUGUCAGAGUCCUCAGCAGAACCUGUUAGUAACUGACAACAAGGGUUGCGCUCGUUAUGGCACUUAAGCCGACACCUCACGGCACGAGCUGACGACAACCAUGCAGCACCUUCACAGAUGCCUUGCGGCUUACGGCUUUCACCGUAAUUCAUCUGCAAUUUAAGCCCGGGUAAGGUUCCUCGCGUAUCAUCGAAUUAAACCACAUGUUCCUCCGCUUGUGCGGGCCCCCGUCAAUUCCUUUGAGUUUCACCGUUGCCGGCGUACUCCCCAGGUGGAAUACUUAACGCUUUCGCUUGGCCGCUUGCCGUAUAUCGCAAACAGCGAGUAUUCAUCGUUUACCGUGUGGACUACCAGGGUAUCUAAUCCUGUUUGAUACCCACACUUUCGAGCCUCAAUGUCAGUUGCAGCUUAGCAGGCUGCCUUCGCAAUCGGAGUUCUUCGUGAUAUCUAAGCAUUUCACCGCUACACCACGAAUUCCGCCUGCCUCAACUGCACUCAAGAUAUCCAGUAUCAACUGCAAUUUUACGGUUGAGCCGCAAACUUUCACAACUGACUUAAACAUCCAUCUACGCUCCCUUUAAACCCAAUAAAUCCGGAUAACGCUCGGAUCCUCCGUAUUACCGCGGCUGCUGGCACGGAGUUAGCCGAUCCUUAUUCAUAAAGUACAUGCAAACGGGUAUGCAUACCCGACUUUAUUCCUUUAUAAAAGAAGUUUACAACCCAUAGGGCAGUCAUCCUUCACGCUACUUGGCUGGUUCAGGCUCUCGCCCAUUGACCAAUAUUCCUCACUGCUGCCUCCCGUAGGAGUUUGGACCGUGUCUCAGUUCCAAUGUGGGGGACCUUCCUCUCAGAACCCCUAUCCAUCGAAGACUAGGUGGGCCGUUACCCCGCCUACUAUCUAAUGGAACGCAUC
rnacentral:rRNA from 1 species